UACAUAGGGUGCAAGCGUUGUCCGGAAUUAUUGGGCGUAAAGAGCUCGUAGGUGGUUCGUUACGUCGGAUGUGGAAAUCUGGGGCUCAACCCCAGACCUGCAUCCGAUACGGUCGAGCUAGAGUUUGGUAGGGGAGACUGGAAUUCCUGGUGUGAGCGGUGGAAUGCGCAGAUAUCAGGAGGAACACCAAUGGCGAAGGCAGGUCUCUGGGCCAAUACUGACACUGAGGAGCGAAAGCGUGGGGAGCGAACAGG
rnacentral:rRNA from 1 species